rnacentral:rRNA from 1 species
UACGGGAGGCAGCAGUGGGGAAUAUUGCACAAUGGGCGCAAGCCUGAUGCAGCCAUGCCGCGUGUAUGAAAAAGGCCUUCGGGUUGUAAAGUACUUUCAGUCGUGAGGAAGGUGUUAAGGUUAAUAACCUUAGCAAUUGACGUUAGCGACAGAAGAAGCACCGGCUAACUCCGUGCCAGCAGCCGCGGUAAUACGGAGGGUGCGAGCGUUAAUCGGAAUUACUGGGCGUAAAGGGCACGCAGGCGGUUAAUUAAGUUGGAUGUGAAAUCCCCGGGCUUAACCUGGGAAUGGCAUUCAAGACUGGUUAGCUAGAGUCUUGUAGAGGGGGUAGAAUUCCAUGUGUAGCGGUGAAAUGCGUAGAGAUGUGGAGGAAUACCGGUGGCGAAGGCGGCCCCUGGACAAAGACUGACGCUCAUGUGCGAAAGCGUGGGGAGCAAACGAGGAUUAGAUACCC